AGACGGGACAACGACCAGGGACAGCGAGCAGGAGUAUCAGUCAGCUGGUUGCUGCCGCUGCUACAACCGACCCAGCCACAGCUGGAAUACCCUCAACCUGGGCAGUGACUACUGUGCUCUACACAGUCAGCGGCUGAAGGGCAGCCACGUGCCAGCCACUGAAAAUGCUCACGGCACACAUCCCUGCUGACCUUCCCCAAGACCAUGGAGAGGCAGCUGAGUCCUUAGCUUGAGGAAGACAGGAUAACAGCCUGUUCCCGCUGCUAGAGGCCAGUGAGAUGGAGAGGCUUGCAGAGGUCACUGAUCAAUGGACUCUCAAGCUCAGCAGUGGUGGCCCAGGACUUUAAUUCUAGGACUCAGAAGGCAGAGGCGGGCAGAGUUCGAGGCCAACCUGGUGGUCUACAGAGCAACGGGAAAAGACAAACAAACGAAAUGUCAUAGAUUCUCCAUCUAUGACACCGCUUGACACCAUCGGGCGGAACGCACAACAGUAAACGCCCCCGCCGCGACCAAUCAGCGAUUGCCGCACACCUCUGCCUUGGCCAAUCCACAGCGGUCUUGCAGUUCCACCCCUUACCUAGGGUGUGGGGAAGCUGGGGCGCCCCGUGCCCAACCUGGGGAGUGUCCAGAGCCU
ensembl:processed_transcript